rnacentral:rRNA from 1 species
UACGUAGGGUGCAAGCGUUGUCCGGAAUUAUUGGGCGUAAAGAGCUCGUAGGCGGUUUGUCGCGUCUGCUGUGAAAACGCGAGGCUCAACCUCGCGCCUGCAGUGGGUACGGGCAGACUAGAGUGCGGUAGGGGAGAUUGGAAUUCCUGGUGUAGCGGUGAAAUGCGUAGAUAUCAGGAGGAACACCGGUGGUGUAGACGGCUCUCUGGACCGUAACUGACGCUGAGGCACGAAAGCGUGGGUAGCAAACAGG